GGGGCUGUAGCUCAGUGGUAGAGUGCCUGCCUAGCAUGCAUGAGGCACUGGGUUUGAUCCUCAGCACCACA
rnacentral:tRNA from 1 species